rnacentral:rRNA from 1 species
GUACCCCGAGGAAAAGAAAUCAACCGAGAUUCCCCCAGUAGCGGCGAGCGAACGGGGAGCAGCCCAGAGUCUGAAUCAGCUUGUGUGUUAGUGGAACGGUCUGGAAAGUCCGACGGUACAGGGUGAUAGUCCCGUACACCAAAAUGCACAGGUUGUGAACUCGAAGAGUAGGGCGGGACACGUGGUAUCCUGUCUGAAUAUGGGGGGACCAUCCUCCAAGGCUAAAUACUC